rnacentral:lncRNA from 1 species
AGAGGAGUGGAGCCCUGUUUGCUGCCAUUUACCAGACCAGCUCCUGUAAUCUGGUCUGCUGUAUUUUGCAGGAUGAUUGGGAAGGAAGGAGGGAAGGCAGCUAAGUAUUCAAGGAAAAGUAUUGUAGGUGGAUCUUUCUGGAUAAUGAGAAGAUCUUGAGUUGAACAUAAAGUCUACACUCAGAGUACAAUUUUCUUUGGGCUCUAUAAAAAAGCCCUAAGGGUUAAGGAAGAUGAAAUCUAAAGGAGUCAGCAGACCAGGUAAUGAUACUUGCUACCAGAUCCUGUCCUCCUGUCUGAAGCCCUGACCUCUCUGGAAUCUGAUACACUCUGCCAACUAAAGUGCCCGGACCAGCUUCAUUUACCUUCCAGUGAAAUGCAGUGGAUGGGGAAAUAACAAGAGGUCCUCUGAUGAAUGUUGCCGAUCGCCAUGGUUACGGUUCCGAGAUGCAGCAAAGAGCAAUUAUGGUGGUAGAGAAGAAGGAAAUGCACCUCUUUGUCAGAAUUUCAUAGCAGCUGUAACAACACGAGAGCACCCAAAUGAAUGCAGAAUAACUGAAAUAUUGUGACAUGUUAAAUGCCAGCACAUUAAAAAAUUGUAUUUCAAUGUCACA